CCCGCGGUAAUUCCAGCUCUUUUAGCGUACAUUAUCAUUGUUGCAGUUAAAAAGCUCGUAGUUGGAUUUUUGUUUCUAGUUGCUCGGUUCUCCGCGGCGGCAUUUGUCGUCGUGUGAGAGCUGGCCGGAGACAUUUCUCGUCGUUCGUCGUGGCAACACGGCGGAAGGCGAAAUUACUUUGAGAAAAAUAGAGUGUUCCAAGCAGGCGUCACGCCACGAAUACUUCGGCAUGGAAUAAAACCAACGGGCUUUCGUCCUUUUGGUGGGUUCUGGACCAAGUCAUGAUUGAUAGGGACGGUUGGGGGUGCUCGUAUUCCGGGGCCAGAGGUGAAAUUCUUGGAUUCUCGGAAGACGAACAACUGCGAAAGCAUUCACCAAGGACGUUUUCUUUAAUCAAGAACGAAAGUUGGGGGAUCGAAGACGAUCAGAUACCGUCGUAGUCUCAACCAUAAACGAUGCCAACUGAGAAUUCUUUCCAGUCUCUCGUGGGACACGUGCCGCAAGGUAACGGCCCACGAAUCGACGGAAGGGGCGCUCUGUGAGAAAUCAAAGUUUUCGGGUUCCGGGGAGAGUAUUGUCGCAAGGCACAAAUUUAAAGGAAUUGAUGGGAGUUUAUCAUCGGGAAUGGAUUGUGCGGCUCAAAUUGACCCAACACGGGAAAACUUACCAGGUCCGUACAGAGUGAGGAGAAACAGACUGAAGUUCUUUUUUGAUUCUUUGGGUGGUGGUGCAUGGCCGUUCUUAGUUGGUGGUGUGGACUGUCUGGUUAAUUCCGUUAACGAACGAGACUUCUACCCUGAAUUUACAUUAUAACUAGUUUUCAAUGUCUGUCAAAGGACAUUUUUUCAUACGAUAAACUUCUUAGGGGGACUAUGUGCAAUAAGCUCAUGGAGGCGGGAAGCGAUAGCAGGCCAUUGAUGCCCUUAGAAAACCUGGGCCGCACGCGCAAUACACUGGACGAAUCAGCGUGUUCAUAGUUUCUCGUUGUGGGGCAACUUGCAGCGAGAAAACCUUGUUCGAGAGGACCGGGAAAUCAUUUAAAUCCGUCCGUGCUGGGGAUUGAGCAUUGCAAUUAUUGCUCAUGAACGAGGAAUUCCUUGUAGACGUACGUCAUCAGCGUACAUCGAAUACAUCCCUUGACUUUAUACACACCGCCCGUCGCUGUUACCGAUUGAAUGUUUUAGUGAGCUGUGAGGAGAAGAGUUGGGCAACUGAUUUUCCGAAUCACAUCAAACUUGAACAUUUAGAGGAAGCAAAAGUCGUAACAAGGUCCCCGUAGGUGAACCUGCGGGGG
rnacentral:rRNA from 1 species